UGGGGAAUAUUGCGCAAUGGGCGAAAGCCUGACGCAGCGACGCCGCGUGUGGGAUGACGGCCUUCGGGUUGUAACCCACUGUCGGGAGGGACGAAUGCGCCGCAAGGCGAGUGACGGUACCUCCAAAGGAAGCACCGGCUAACUCCGUGCCAGCAGCCGCGGUAAUACGGAGGGUGCGAGCGUUGUCCGGAAUCACUGGGCGUAAAGGGCGCGUAGGCGGCCUGAUAAGUAGGGGGUGAAAUCCUGCGGCUUAACCGCAGGGCUGCCUUCUAAACUGUCGGGCUAGAGCACGGUAGAGGCAGAUGGAAUUCCCGGUGUAGCGGUGGAAUGCGUAGAGAUCGGGAAGAACAUCAGUGGCGAAGGCGGUCUGCUGGGCCGUUGCUGACGCUGAGGCGCGACAGCGUGGGGAGCAAACAGGAUUAGAUACCCUGGUAGUCCACGCCGUAAACGAUGGACACUAGGCGUCGGGGGGAGCGACCCUCCCGGUGCCGUCGCUAACGCAGUAAGUGUCCCGCCUGGGGAGUACGGCCGCAAGGCUGA
rnacentral:rRNA from 1 species